rnacentral:rRNA from 1 species
UGGUGGAGUGAUUUGUCUGCUUAAUUGCGUUAACGAACGAGACCUCGACCUGCUAAAUAGUUCGGCGAACUCUUCGGGGUUCGUGCGGUACUUCUUAGAGGGACUAUCGGUUCGAAACCGAUGGAAGUUCGAGGCAAUAACA